rnacentral:siRNA from 1 species
UAGCACGUAAUCAUAUAUUGGGCU